rnacentral:tRNA from 1 species
GCAGGACUGGCGGAACAGGCAGACGCGCUAUCUUGAGGGGGUAGUGGGUAACACCGUAUGGGUUCAAGUCCCAUGUCCUGCACCA